rnacentral:lncRNA from 1 species
GCCCGCCAUUCAGCAGGUCCUGACUUCUUGUGUGACAUCCAGAAGAAAGGGGUUACACAGACAGCUGGAGGGUGAGCAAAGUGGAGAAGUUCUCAGCAGAGAGGAGACUGGAGUGAGUUGCCCCUACCCGCAGGUGCCAACUGUAAUACAUCAGUAGCUGAACAGCUCAUUGCCCUCAAGUGUUCUUGCUCAUGCCUGGCUGAGUUAUUGAAGAAAUUGCUCAGAUCUCAAGCCCUUGUAGAUCACUGGUCCUGGCAGAUGUUGUUAUUCUAACGCAGAUACGUGAACAGAAAAGCCUGAACUAGGGAACUGACCAUGAAACUAAAAAGGAGAAAGCAUAUGCAAGUGGACACAAUGAUGAAGAAUUCUACAAGAAAGUAGAAACAUGACAGAAAGAAGAGUACAGGAGAACGGGUGAAACUUGAAAACUGAUAGAAAUGAUAGAACAGGAUCUAUACUUCUGCAGGUCACUGAAGUGAAGAGUUUGAUGUUCUUCCUAGAUCUUCAUAGACGUAGAAUUGCCUGUGUAAUCUCCUUACCUCACUAGUCUGCCCUGUCUUCCUUCUUGCUAGAUGAGAAAUAAAGAAAACAAGAAAAGCAAGGGAAAGGAGAGAAAAAAGGAGGGAUACAGCAAGAGGGAGAAAGAAAAGGACGAGAAAAUAAAUUACUAAAGGGAGAAAAGAAAAAGAAAAAAGAAAAAGCAGAGAAGAAGUUAAUCCCCUGGUGAAUUUUUCACAGGCUAUCUGGAACUCAAAUUCCAAACCAUAUUUGAGCAGGGAGAAAAAUCAGUGCACUUGAAGAUAAGACAAUGGAAAUUGAGUCUUGGAAGAAGAGGGAACAGAUUCUGUGGGACACAGCAAACAGACCACCAUGUGCAUUGUGGGAAUCCCCGAAGAAGAAGAAAAAGAAAAUGGAAUAAAAUACUCAAAGAAAUAGUGGCUAAAAACCUCUUAAAAAGACAGCAUUCAAGGAACCACCUUGUACGCAGACACUGAAACCUCGCGAGACAACAAAACUGCUGACACCUUGAUCUUGGACUUCCCAGCCUCCAGAACUAUGUGAGACAUAGAACUAUGAACCGAACACAAACCUGGGAGAAAAAAGAAAGACUGAAGUGGAACUAAAUAAUAUUGAAACCAACAAGCAAUACAAGGAACCAGCAAAGAGUACAUAGAACAAACAUUUUUUUUAGAAGGAUUAAAUGGGACAAUUAAACAAUUUGAUCAGCAUAAUGUCCAGCUCAAGGAUCUUGGAGGUGGUGAGGCAGCCCAAGUGGAAAGGCAGCAGAAGGGGUAUCCUUGUUUUACCAAUUACUCAUAUGUAGGAGAUGGUGCAUUAAAUGAAAUAUUCUCU